UACGUAGGGCGCAAGCGUUGUCCGGAAUUAUUGGGCGUAAAGAGCUCGUAGGCGGUUUGUCGCGUCUGCUGUGAAAACCUAAGGCUCAACCUUGGGCUUGCAGUGGGUACGGGCAGACUAGAGUGCGGUAGGGGUGACUGGAAUUCCUGGUGUAGCGGUGGAAUGCGCAGAUAUCAGGAGGAACACCGAGUGGCGAAGGCAGGUCA
rnacentral:rRNA from 1 species